GAAAAAGCGCCAUAUUGGAUUUUAUAAGACUUUGGAUUGUGUAAUUUUGACAGCCGACCACUUCGAUCGUUUUUCGUGAACUGCGUUUUUGUCGCAUUAUCAGUUAAAGAUGUCGGGAGCUGUUAGUAGGGCGGCAAGACCCGAGAUGAGACGUCUCUUGCACAACCAGAUUAAAAAGAACUUGAUUGUCUCGAUUGGAUUGUGUGUGGUGGCUGGAGUAGGUCAAUAUUUCCUUAUUAAUGCCCCUGCGAAGGAACGAUACGUAAAGUUUUUUUCGACGUAUAACAUUGAAGCGGAAUUUAACCGCAUGAAAAACUUGGGUUUAUUCGAUUCAUGUGGCCCUAGCGAUUAGGAUUAUUAAGAAAAGGUGUUUGUAGUGUAAAUUGGUUAAUAUUUCAAUAAAUUAUAAAUAGAUAAUCUUA